UUUGUAGAAGGUGCUUCGGGCGCGACUCUGGUCCAAGUCCCUUGGAACAGGGCGUCCUAGAGGGUGAGAAUCCCGUACGUGGCCGAGGGUCAAGCCCGUGUGAAGCCCUUUCGACGAGUCGAGUUGUUUGGGAAUGCAGCUCUAAUUGGGUGGUAAAUUUCAUCUAAAGCUAAAUAUCUGCCGGAGACCGAUAGCGCACAAGUAGAGUGAUCGAAAGAUGAAAAGCACUUUGAAAAGAGAGUUAAACAGUACGUGAAAUUGUUGAAAGGGAAGCGCUUGCAACCAGACUCGCUCGCGGGUGCUCAACCGCCCUUUGGGGUGGUGCAUUCUCCCGUGAUCGGGCCAGCAUCGGUUUUGGCGGCUGGAUAAAGGCUCCGGGAACGUAGCUCUUCGGAGUGUUAUAGCCCGGGGUGUAAUGCGGCCUGCUGAGACCGAGGACUGCGCAUCUGCUAGGAUGCUGGCGUAAUGGUUGCCAGCGACCCGUCUUGAAACACGGA
rnacentral:rRNA from 1 species